GAUGAAGAACGCAGCGAAAUGCGAUACGUAAUGUGAAUUACAGAAUUCAGUGAAUCAUCGAGUCUUUGAACGCACAUUGCGCCCCCUGGUAUUCCGGGGGGCAUGCCUGUCCGAGCGUCAUUGCCGCCCUCAAGCACGGCUUGUGUGUUGGGCCUCCGUCCUCCUCCCGGGGGACGGGCCCGAAAGGCAGCGGCGGCACCGCGUCCGGUCCUCGAGCGUAUGGGGCUUCGUCACCCGCUCUUGUAGGCCCGGCCGGCGCUUGCCGACACAUCAAUCUUUUUUCCAGGUUGACCUCGGAUCAGGUAGGGAUACCCGCUGAACUUAAGCAUAUCAAUAAGCGGAGGA
rnacentral:misc_RNA from 1 species